GAGGAAUGUAUAGCAAUAGCUAGUUGCAUCAUAGUAGAUAUGAUGCAAGAUCGACUAUGUUGAAUAAAAUUCUAGGUAGAAUUAUGAUAAUGACAUUGUCUGCCUAUGUGUCUUGACCAAAUUACGUGCCAGCAGUCGCGGUAAUACGUAGAAGACUAGUGUUAUUCAUGUUUAAUCGGUUUAAAGGGUACCUAGACGGUAGAUCAAGCUUUCUAAUAAAGGAAAAGGACUAAUUUACUAGAGUUACUUAUGAGGGGGUAUUAAAGUACUGCUGGUGUAGAGAUGAAAUUCUGUCAUACCUCUUUUCAAAAGAAAAACCAUGGCACAGGUAUAGGCGAAGGCAUCCCCUUAUGUGAUAACUGACGUUGAGGGACGAAGGCUUUGUGUAGCGAACAGGAUUAGAUACCCCAGUAGUCGAAGCAGAAAAUGAUGAAUGUCAUAGAUUAGAUAUAUAAGUUUAUUCUAUAAAUGAAAGUGUAAGCAUUCCACCUCAUGAGUAAUUUGGCAACAUUGGAACUGAAAUCAUUAGACCGUUUCUGAAACCAGUAGUGAAGUAUGUUGUUUAAUUUGAUGAUCCGCAAAAAACCUUACCACAAUUUGAAUAUUUAUAUUAUUUAUUGUUUUAUUAUUAAUAUUCUUCAUUUUCUUCAUUUUCUUCAUCAUUUUGAUGAAGAAAAUGAUGAAGAAAAUGAAGAAUAUUAAUAAUAAGGCAAUAAGAUAUAUUUACAAGCGUUGCACGGCUGUCUUCAGUUAAUGUCGCGAGACUUUGGUUAGUUCCAUUAAAUUAACGUAAACCCUUACUUUAUUUUUAUAUAGAGUAGUUCCCCGCUAUAUUGGAUAUGAU
rnacentral:rRNA from 1 species